rnacentral:rRNA from 1 species
UACGAAGGUGGCAAGCGUUGUUCGGAAUCACUGGGCUUAAAGCGCACGCAGGCGGAUCAUCAAGCGUCUUGUGAAAGCCCCCGGCUCAACCGGGGAAUUGCUGGGCGAACUGAUGGUCUUGAGGCAGGUAGGGGCGAGUGGAACUCUUGGUGGAGCGGUGGAAUGCGUAGAUAUCAAGAGGAACGUCGGAGGCGAAGGCGACUCGCUGGGCCUGUCCUGACGCUGAGGUGCGAAAGCCAGGGGAGCAAACGGG